UACGUAGGGGGCAAGCGUUUGUCCGGAUUUAUUGGGCGUAAAGAGCGUGUAGGCGGCCUGAAAGGUCAGCUGUGAAAACUCGAGGCUCAACCUCGAGACGUCGGUUGAAACCAUCUGGCUAGAGUCCGGAAGAGGAGUGUGGAAUUCCCGGUGUAGCGGUGAAAUGCGCAGAUAUCGGGAAGAACACCCGUGGCGAAGGCGGCACUCUGGGACGGUACUGACGCGUGAGA
rnacentral:rRNA from 1 species